AUGCUAGAAUGUGGCAGAGGGAGAGCUGAGACCAGAGUCCUGUUUUUUGGCAGCGGGAAUGGAGCGUGGCACUUGAACAUCCAUAUUCUCAGCCACUCUAUCACGCAGGACGGGCAGGAUCAGUGUCCAGAAGGACUGACACAACUGGAGCUGGCUUCUGAGUACAGAGUUCGAUCUUCCCUAGGGCAGGUCCAGGACCUUUUUGCCCCCAACACAACUGACCUAAAUUCUUACGCUCAACCUAACAGUGCUCAGCAAGGUAAGGGAGCCAGGGAAGGAGAAUGCUGGGGGGAGGGUUUAGGGAUGGGUAGAAGGGUGGAAAAUCUAAAUCCUGAGGCUUCUGCCGGUCCAGACUAAAGGCGGCAUCUGCUCCCAGGCACUCUUCUGGGAAUGGUAACCAGUUUAACCACUUACCAGUCCAAUUAUUUAAAUACAGGAUGACCAAAAAUUGCAUAUUUUUUCAUUAAUUUUUAUAAGAUAAUACAACAGGACGCAUAAAAACGAUAGUGUUUUCAAAUUUACUCAUAAUUGACUGGUUGAAAUGACACCUGCCCGAGCAGCACGCAGGACAGUCAGUACUAAACAAGUGAUGCUCGGGGUAGACGCCUAAGAGGUAUUAAUAGGAGCUUUCAGUGUUUGACUAGCACAGUGGCCAAGAACGCAAGCUGGCUCACUUUGUAUCCUAGCUGCUCUGGUUUGGAUAUGGUUUGAAUGAAUGUGUUUGUCCCCUGAAGUUUAUAUACUGGAAACUUGCUCCCCAGGGUGGUGAUGGCUGGGAGGCAGUAGGACGUGUAAGAGGGGACACACAGCAGGGUAACUGGGUCAUCGGGUGCUCUCCAAAGUUAUUAGGGUCAUUCCCCCAGGACCCAGGCUAGGUCCUGGGAGAGUAAGUUGUUAUGAAUGACCUGGCCCCUGAGUGUCUGGCUUCCUGCCUUGCCAUGCGGCUGCUCUGUCCUUCUCCCCUGCGCACCUUCUCUGAUGCCACUGUCGUGUUGGGAUAUGGCCAGAAGCCCCUCACCAGACCUACACACUUGCCAGUACGGUGCCUUUGGAUCUCUAGAACUGGGCACUACAUUAAUUUUUCUUUUUUUUUUCUGCCUUACUAGGGAUUAAACCCAGGGCCUCAUGCAUACUAAGUGAGUGCUCUGCCACUGAGUGACAUCCCUAUCUGUCUGACAGAUACUGAAGGCACAAUAAAGCUAGAAAUUACACUUAAAUAGAAAAAGGUAGGAUCAAAAUUUGAAGGCAGUCAUCCCAGCCCCGGGGCUCUCACACACUAGUUAGGGCAGACAAAGGAGCUAUUUAGCCCUGCUGAUUUCUUGGGGCAGACCAGGAACCAGAAAACAUGAGACAAAAUCCCAAUUUAUUUUUUUUACUUUCAGGAAUCUAAUUGUCUAAUAGAAAACACAUCCAGCCUGGGUGUCAUAGUGCACGCCUGCAAUUGCAACACUUGGAAGAGUGCGGAAGGAGGAUCACUUUGAGUUCAUAGUGAGUUUAAGGCCAGGCUGAAAUGUACAAGAGACUCUGUCUCAAAAAGAAAAGAAAAAAGAAACAAACAAACAAACAAACAAACAAAAGAAAUUAAAAAAAAAACACAUCCAGAGCCAGGGAUGUAGCUCAGUGGCAUAGUGCCUGCCUAGUAAGCACAAGGUCCUAAGUUCAAUUCCUGGUACCAAUAAAAAUAAAAAUAAAAUAAUAAUUAGUUAAACAUAUUUAGUUUCUUCGAAUUUUCCUCAGAUGGAUUACAGCUCUCUCAGAGAUGUCAGUUUUCUUUAUAAGUAAAGAAUUACAGAGUAUUCAAGAGAUCACUGAUCUCAUCCAAUGCCAUAUAAAUCUGCAGAGUUGUAGCUGGGGAUUUAGCUCAGCAGUGUAAGCACUUGUCUGGCAAACACAAGGUCAUGAGUUCAAUCCCCAGCACUAGAAAAAAAAAAAUCUGCAAAGUCCAGGUGAGUUCCCAGAAGAACUGUGCAUCUAUGAAAGAACUGUGAAUUCCCCCAAAGCCUUUCCCAGAGAGAUUACAUCUUUCAGAAUGUUAUCUACUCCACCACAGCCUCUGCUUCAGAGAAAUCAGAGGCCUUCCCAGAAAAAUCCCCCAGGGAACCAGUGUCCAAGGUCAUAGACUAAAUCUCACACUUUUCCUGGGCCCAAGGAAGCCAGGCCUGUCCAGGCCCCUCCUGAGACUUUGGCACAUUUUCUGUGUCUAGCCUUUGCCUUUUCCCUGCCAACCACAGGAUCUAUUAUGGCUGUGUCUAGAUGUCCCCUUAAAGCCUCAUGUGCUCACACGUAGGGCUCGUCAGAGGUGGCUCCACCUAGGGUGUGUGAUGCUGGGGCUACAGGUGUGUGGCAACUAACUUGGGUUAGCAGAGUUCUGGAUGUGGAUAAUGGCCAGGCCCGCCUUGGGUUCGAUUGGCCUGAAGCCUGGAUAGGAUAAAGGCGAAAAGGAGGCUCGAUCCUGCUGCUGCUUGCGGCCUUCUUUCUUGCCCUGCAUGGACUGUUUCUCCUCUGCAGUGCCCCGCAGCCAGUGGAGCCAACUGAUCACGGACUGAAAUUUCUACAAACUGUGAACUGAAAUAACUCCUCCUUUAAUUUAUGGAUGUUGGAUAUUUGUUCCAGUAAUGGGAAAGUAACUAAGAGUCCUUCUGAGGGUCAUUCUUGGGCACUUUCUUAUCACAGCGUGAGACAGCUAGGGGCACCCCAGGUUUCACACUUCUUUCCAGAAGAAUCUACUGAGGCCAGCUGAGGAAGCACCAAGUCCAAGCUCCUCCAACCUUCCUCACCAGCUCCCUGCCUCACCACUUCCUGUUGGAAGCCCUGGAGUGGAGUGUCCUGUGAUGCCCCGAUGUCCUCCAGGGGAUGCACUCUCCUCCCUGGGAUGUGAUCACAAACUGGCCUCUACACCAUCUUAGUUCUCCAGUACCACCCCAGGGCUGGGCAUGAGACAGGUCGACCUGGCAAGUAAGAGAACACAGGAGGGACUGGAGAACCUGGAGUGACCUGGAGUGAAAGUUCCAGGGAAGAUGAAGGCCCUCUUUUUUUGGGUGGGACAGAGGCGGGAUGAGGUUACCGGGAAUCGAACUCAGGACCUUGCACUUACCAGGCAGGUGCUGUGCUACUGAGGUAUAUCCCUGAAACCCCCAGAGGGAAACAGAAAUGAAGUCUCUGGAGGGAAACAGAAUGAAGUCCUCUGUCCUGACCAGUGAGUAAUCCUCAGGGACCUGGCUGCCCAGG
ensembl:lincRNA